AAAUAUUAAAAGGAUCACAAAUAUCACUCAAAUACAUCUCAACUCAAUCUUAAUUUAAUUCUAGUUAAAAUCCUAUUGAACUUCAUUCAAACUUUAGGCCAAAAACUAAUUGAAUCUUAAAUCCUAAUAAAAUCUUAAAUCCUAAAUCAAACCCUAAAAAAACCUUAAACUAAACCUCAACCAAAUCCUAAACCAAAUCCUAACCAAAUCCCAAACCAAACCUUAAAUCCUAACCAAAUCCUAAACCAAACCUUAAAUCCUAAAUCAAACACUAACCAAAAUCUAAUCUAAAUCCUAAAUCCUAAACCAAAUUCUAAACCAAAUCCUAAAUCCUAAACUAAAUCCUAACUAAAUUCUAACCAAAUCCUAAUCCAAACCCUAAACCCUAAACCAAAUCCUAAACCUUAAACCAAAUCCUAGUAAUUCCUACAAAAGAUUUAAACCUCAAUAAUUAAUGAAUAAACCGUUGAUCAUAACUCAAUUUUUUGACACUUCUAAAAAAAAUAUUUGAAAAUAAGCACAAAAAAAUUGAAAAAGAUCGGAGUUACCAAAUUGACGAUAACCUCAAAAAUAAUCUCGGAUAUUAGUUGGCCUCCUUCUCCAAUCUUGAUGCCAAUCUUCGAGAGCCAAAAUCUCUCCUUUACAUAGUUUGAUUGAUCUCAAAAUUCUUAUAUACAUAAAAAAACAAGUCUAAUAUCCUCUCACA
rnacentral:lncRNA from 1 species